CCUACGGGCUGCACCAGUAGGGAAUCUUCGGCAAUGGACGAAAGUCUGACCGAGCAACGCCGCGUGAGUGAAGAAGGCUUUCGGAUCGUAAAACUCUGUUGUUAGGGAAGAACAAGUAGGAGAGUAACUGCUCUUACCUUGACGGUAUCUAACCAGAAAGCCACGGCUAACUACGUGCCAGCAGCCGCGGUAAUACGUAGGUGGCAAGCGUUGUCCGGAUUUAUUGGGCGUAAAGCGAGCGCAGGCGGUAUUUUAAGUCUGAUGUGAAAGCCCUCGGCUCAACCGAGGAAGGUCAUUGGAAACUGGAGGACUUGAGUGCAGAGGAGGAGAGUGGAAUUCCAUGUGUAGCGGUGAAAUGCGUAGAUAUAUGGAAGAACACCAGUGGCGAAGGCGACUCUCUGGUCUGUAACUGACGCUGAGGCUCGAAAGCGUGGGGAGCAAACAGGAUUAGAUACCCUUGUAGUC
rnacentral:rRNA from 1 species